rnacentral:tRNA from 1 species
GAUCGAGUAUCUCAAAUGGUAGCAUAGUCUGGCGUUUUUAACGCUGGCGGUUGUGGGUUCGAAUCCCACCUCGAUCACCA